GACUUCCGGUCUUGCCACAGGUAAGAAUGCUCCUCGCAAUCGCUUAGCUAGGCUUAUGGGCCGUGGUACUCACCUAAAUGUUUCCUUUAACCGUUUUCUUUUUUUAUGGUGCGUCUGACCUUCCCUUUCACAUCCGGUAUGAAUGCUUUUUGCGAUCUCUUUUCUAUGCUUAUGGACAGGGGCACUUGCUUAAAUCGGCUUGUAGACUCAAUUUAUCUUCUACAGUGGUUCUGUGGACUCUCCUGUGCACAUCGUUUCGUUGCGCGUCUGACUUCCGCUUCUGCCUCAGUUUCCACUUAGACGGUUGUGUUCCCUUGUUAACAACAUUGCCUUACUGGUCUCGGAAAGUGGCUCGUUCCCUGUCCUUACUGGUUGUACAGGGAUUGCUAGGGGUUGUUCAUUCAGCAUCUGGGAACAGGGAUUAUAGGUCGAAGUGAGUGCUGUGGACAAAUGCAUGGACGCUGCUGCUUGCCUGAAUGCUGCUUGUGCAUGAUUGAUUCAUUUGUUUUGCUUCACUGUCAUUGGACCAGCAUAGGCCAUAUUGUUUAAUUGCUGCUUUGUUGACUGGGUGCUUUGCCAUCUUGUUGCGCAUGCAUUUUCCGUCUAAGUUUAUUUAACAGUUAGUC